rnacentral:rRNA from 1 species
CCUACGGGAGGCAGCAGUGGGGAAUUUUGGACAAUGGGGGCAACCCUGAUCCAGCCAUUCCGCGUGAGUGAAGAAGGCCUUCGGGUUGUAAAGCUCUUUCGCAAGGGAAGAAAACUUAUGAUCGAAUAAAUCAUGAGGUUGACGGUACCUUGAUAAGAAGCACCGGCUAACUACGUGCCAGCAGCCGCGGUAAUACGUAGGGUGCGAGCGUUAAUCGGAAUUACUGGGCGUAAAGCGUGCGCAGGCGGUUUUGUAAGUCGGAUGUGAAAUCCCCGGGCUCAACCUGGGAACUGCGUUCGAAACUGCAAGGCUAGAGUGUGUCAGAGGGGGGUAGAAUUCCACGUGUAGCAGUGAAAUGCGUAGAGAUGUGGAGGAAUACCAAUGGCGAAGGCAGCCCCCUGGGAUAACACUGACGCUCAUGCACGAAAGCGUGGGGAGCAAACAGGAUUAGAUACCCUGGUAGUCCACGCCCUAAACGAUGUCAACUAGUUGUUGGUAGAGUAAAAUCUAUGAGUAACGUAGCUAACGCGUGAAGUUGACCGCCUGGGGAGUACGGUCGCAAGAUUAAAACUUAAAUGAAUUGACGGCUGAGACGNGCGAGACGACGACGAGGGAGAGG